rnacentral:lncRNA from 1 species
ACCUAUGGGGAUGAUGCCGGUGUUGCAGGAAAUGUGGGGGAGGGGGCCUAUUCCCUCCAGAGAGGUCAGGGGUGAUCACUUGCUUCAUUGAAUAAGACCAUUUGGUGCAAGCCACAGAAAUUCAGCUCAGCAUGGCUUAACAGAAACAGUGGAUUUAUUAAGUCACGAAACUCAAAAGCCCAGGUGUGGACUUCAAUCCACAACUGCAUCCAGGGGCUCAAAAAAAAUUUCAUGGGAAUUGAGCCUCCUCCAUUUUUGCUUUCUUCUGUGUUGGCCUCAUUCUCGGGCAGCCUUUUCCCAAUUGGUUGCACAUGGUUCCCAGCAGCUCCCAACUUACAUUUUGCCGCUUAAGGAGACCAGCGGAAAGAGAGCCCCUUGUUCUGCCAGUUUCUGUAAAAAUGCUGGGGCCAAUGCUCAUUGGCCAGGAUUUACUCACUUUCCCAUCUCUGAACCAAUUAGCAAGGCCAGGGGCUAAGGGAAGGCUUGGAUUGGCCAGGCCUUGAAUGGAGUGCAUCAAGUGCCCAUCCCGGGGACUGUAGAGUGAGUCCCGCCCCCAAAGGGAUCUUGGAAACUGAUACUGAGACAGAAACAAUGGCUCCUAGAGGUAAAUGGAAGUACUUAUAUCAAGAGAAGGAAUGGAUGGAUCCUGAACAGGCAAAUCCAACAGAUGUCCAAGACCGAGAAUGUUUCUAAGGCUCCACGGACAUGGACAUAGACAUCUUCAAGACAAAAUGAGCCCUAGCAGUGGUUCCUCACCCUGUACGGGAAAUUCUGAUGCCCAGAUCUAAACUUGCUGGGCCUCAGGAAGAGCUCUGAGACAGGGAGGUGGGUGGAUGCCAUGAGGAGCCUCUGGGCAGGUCCCAUCUUUCUUAAAUUAAUACUUCUUGGAGAGACUCAGCAGCGGGGCAGGAAUUUGUAAAAUUACAUAAACAUUAUUGUGACCCGUAAAAUUCAAUGAAUCUCGGCCUGUUUACCCGCGGCUGGCUUUAAUGUUUGCACAGUGUAAUUUAAUGUGUCAAUUUGCUCUCAAAUAAAAAACAUCUGGUCCUCUGACAUGGCAAAGAAACUAGAGAGCUGACAAUGUUCACAUCCAGCUAAGAGCCCCAAUCAGAGAUGAUGUUUAGGGGGGAAGGAAAGGCCAGGGACUCAGAAAAGGAAGCCAACAUCAUCAGGACCCAGGCCUGGCCUGGUGACAGGCCGCUGUUUGUGAGUCUGUAAGAUUAGUAAAUUUUAUCCUAAUUAGAAUUAAGAGAAGCCAAGAAGAACACAUACCAUCUCUAACUGGCACCCAUCGUGCAAUUAAAUUUCCUGCGGCUGCCCCUGCCAAUAUUGACGUUCAUGCUAUUGGAUUUUUAACAAUCUUAUUAUUUUGUAAUUGAGAAGCGCAAGAAGAAAAUUACACUUUCCUGCACAGAUGAUCUGUUCAGUGAACGUACCCCUUCCUACUGCAGUUGGCCUAGCUAAGCCCCCCUCUCUCCUGAUUCCCCGGGGGGCUGCUGGGGCUGGGGGAGGGGGAGGGGAGGCUCCAAGUGUGUGCUUUUCCAGUGAGAUCAUGCUUCUUAGUUUGGUCUCCGCUAAGUAAUGAGCCUGCUCACGCUCUUUCCUGCAGACGGGGCGGGGCUUGGCCGGCAGGUCCUGAUUUGGCGGCGCUGACCUACAUAGAACAGGAUAGGGGAAGCUGAGUUCUCCUGUGAGGCAGGUGUGGGCUAGAAGGCCUUUGAGGGGGCCCUCACCUGCCACUGGGGGCGGGGGGUGCUCAUCGCUUCUGAGUGUUGGGCCCCCACCUGGAGCUGGGCUGGCAGAGGCGGCCCCAAGGGACCGCAAUGCCUGAAGGCCCGGUGGCUUUCCCUCUUCUGCAAUUCCUUUCUCUUCCAGCGUCCAACCCAGGCUGAAGGGAACUGGGGAGGGAUGGCUUCCCCUCCCCUGUUUCUCACCCCAAUAAAUGCUGGAGAUGUCCCGAUGAAAAAGAACUCGGCCUGAAGCCCGCUGGAAAGAGCCAAGCCUGCUUUCCUGGCCAUGGAAUGAUGGGGUCAGAGCAAGUUCAGGCUUUGCUUUAAUUGAGUAGAAGAUAGUUCUUCCUUAAGGGAGCCCUGAAAUAAUACUUCAGCCGAGCAGAGUGACUUCCCAUAUUGUCAGAAGGGAUUAGCCGGGCUGGUUUGUAAAUAAAGAGUGAUCCCUCUUCCCCUCUAGGACAAACAGAUCAUAUUUUCUUCGGCUCACCAGGGACUGGGCUCGCUCUAAUCAAGUCCUUGACAUUUCACUAAAGACUCCAGGAGUUACAUGUUUUCCGUGAUUGAGCCCUCAGUAAUUACCCAUUUUCCUAAACGAUUGCUAUUUUCCAAAUCCAAAACAUUUUGGAGAAGUGGGAAAAUGAGCUGUCUGUCCAACAGUGUGGGGAGGGAAGCGGGGGGCAGGAGUGGGGGGGAUGCACCGAGCAGGGUCCCUUGAGGUUAAGACAACAUCAUCCUAAUAAGAACCAGCAGGGCCAGCUCUCUGGACCAUCAGACAUUGUUUUCUAAUUUACUCAUCCUUCCAUUCAUUUGGGCAACAGCAGUUUCUGGAGCCCUUGCCACGUGCUGGAUGCUGUGCUCCAGGCACAGAACUGGAUAUGACUUGCUCGCCCCAGGGCAUCCCCCUCACCUCGCCCCCAUCUAGCGGGACAGCAACGUGUCCCAAAGGAGAAGUGUCACAGAGCCUGCCAAUAAACAGCAAAACCCCAAGCCUGAAAAUCAAUGAAGAUUAAAGCUACAUCUGGGGAAGACAAGGAAGAGCAGGUGACCCUGGGCUCUCCUAGGAGGAGGAGACGUUGGCCAUCAAAUCAAAUAAGAACAGCAACAGCUGCCCUGGAAUGCCAGGCACUAUGCUGAGGGCCUGGCACAUAUUAAUUCCUCAAAUCCGCACAACGAUCUUAUGAGACAGAUAGUAUUUUUUCCCCCUUUUCAGAUGGAAGCUAAAGCAUGGAGAGGGAAAGGGAACAGCACGUGGGAAAGGACAUAUGUGUGACAAAGUGGGGCAUGUUUAUAGACCAUGGGAGGAGCUCCCUGGAAAAUCAGCCGCCUCAGAGCUGUGUUUUUAGGGGGAUGUCAAGGUUGCAGAGGAGCCAGAAUGUGAAGGACACGAGACCAAUGAUAAAAAGCACGCUGUGAGCCACACAGAAAGAUAAGGCUCUCCUCCAACUCUCAGCCAACACGUGACCUUACCAUCUCCCCACCGCUGAGCCACCCAGUGCUGAACCAGCUCUUGGGGAAGAAGCCAAAAGUCAGGUGCACCAGCUGUGAGGUUAGGACCUGAUUUCCCGCCUCACCUCCCCACUCACCUCCACCUCCAUAGACAGGUGGUGGACCAGACCCACUGGAGUGAGUGGGGUAACCCUUCCAGCCCCAACCCCACCCCGAGAGCCCUAUGCAGUGGGAGAGACUCCCCAGGCUGAUUCUGUACCCAGAGAGGCAAUGUGGGAGUGUGUCUCUACUGUGGAGUAGAGGAAAUGUCUUUGCCUUUCGAGACUUCUCUUCUGCAUUCUUUAGUGAGCUCCAUUUUCAUCCCUUCCUCUUGAACAAUCCUCCCUCCCCAAGAAAAAAAGAAAAAGAUCCCGCCGCUUGUGUCCACUCCAAACACAGAUGACAAGAAAUCUUGGAAACACAGCCUAAAGAAACACUAAGCAAACUGUUCCCCAAACGAGCCUGUCAUCCUGACCUUUGGAAGCCAAGAGCUCCACUUUAUAACUUGGGAAUGCACAAAUAUUUACAGUUGCAGGGAAGAGAGCCCAGGUCUGCCUGAAUCCCAGAGUGGGGAGGGAGCAGAGAGCUCAUCCAGGCCAGCCUCACAUGUGCUGGAGGAUGCCUGGGCAGGGUUCCUGCAGAGGGUCACCCAGCCUCUCCUUGCCCACCUCCAGCAAUGGAAGAAAGGCCAUCACCCUCCUUCCAUGGACCCAAUCUUUGGGAAGUUCUGACAUGGAGCCACAAUCACCUGCCUAGUGACUUUGCUCCCUGGCUUUGGAUGUACCAGCAGGGCCUCAGGGCUUGACUAUUUUCUUUCCCCUGGCAGCCUUUUAUUUAUUUAUUUUUUAAGUAUGGUUUAUUUACAAUGUUGUGCCAAUUUCUGCUGUGCAACAAAGCCCAUGGCUGCUUUUGGAUGGGUGCAAAUCAGCCUCCCUGUCUGCCUUCCCCUCUCUCUUUUUUCCCUCGGUUCCUUCAUUCAUUUCUUGGGGGAACCUCAUUUGGGGGUCUCUCACCACUGUGGCGGCCUCCUUCCACCUUUGCCCACACAUCCUAGCCGGUCAGAAGGCGGUCCAGGAGUCUGAGACAGACCUCAGACUCUAUUCCCUCUUACUUCACAUUCACUUCCACCAAGAUUUAUUUGGUAUCAGGGGAACCGAUUCUGAAUCCUGGCUCAGCCACUUUCCAGCUGUGUGACCUCAGGCAAGUUCUUUAACUUCUCUGAGCCCAGGGUGACCACUUUGCCCCGUUUCUCCAACUGUACCGGUUUCCAAAUGCCAAACUUCAUGUCCUUGGAGACCCCUGAGUCCCAGGAAAACUGGAUGGUCGGUCACUCUAUGAAGCCAGUUUCCUCAUUAUGAGUUGAGAAUAGCAAUAAUCCAGCUUAUAGUGUUGUCAAGACAUUUAACUGAGAUAAUAGAUGUGAAAGACCAGCGCUAGGCCUGGCCCACAGCAGAAACUCCUUUUACGUCUCGUUAAUGUAAAUGCCUGGUGGAUUGUGGCAAAUUAGAAAGAAGUAGAGACCUGAGCUGAGGCCAGGAGCAGCUUAACUGGAAAACGAUUGAAAAAACAAACAUGGGAACAUGAACAGGAACACUUGAUCCAAAUUCUCAGGUUCUCUGCAGUGUACCUAUCCCGCUGUGGUUGAAUGAGACACAGUAAUUGCUCACCUUGACUGUGACUCCUGUUGACAAAGAAAAGGCUACAUCUUGUGCAUUAUCCCGUCGGAUAAGGCAGGGUAGGGGUGGAGUCCACCAUAGAGUAAGUGCCGCACAAAACGUGACACAGGUUUUUGUGUUUUCAAGGUGAGCACGCAGCCACCCAGCCUGGAGGAGGGAAAGAGCAUUGAGUAGAGGGUCCCAAGAGAGCCUGAGUCUGCAGUUUGCUCCCUGGGUGACCGUGGACAAAGCGUGCUCGUGGUUCCGGUCCUGUUUCCUCAUCUGUAAAAUGCAGAAGAGAAAGUAGACAGGCUGUUGUCUGACAGAGAAGCAGCAGAGCGGAGCGGUCAAGGGCAGGGACCCACCACCCACUGGCCGUGUGAACUUGGGCAAGUGAAAGUGCCAAAUGCGCUGUGUCCUGAGUACCUACCGAGUACUAGCUCUUGUUACUAUUCUUUCUGGGCCUGACACUCCCAGAUAUAGUCAUUCAGUGACCACCCCCUCCCCCGACACCAAGGGUUAAUGCAGCCUAAGCUCGAGGAUGUGAUGGUCAUGUUUCUUUUCCCUCCUCAAACUGCCUCGUCGCUCAGCUGGCUCAGGUUGAACUUGAGGCCACCGCGGAAAACCUCCUGAUCUUUUUUAUGUGAAUUGCAGUCAAGCCAGGUCUCCCUCAUCCUGUUCUUGUGCAAUUGAUUUUUGGAACCUGCAUUCAAGACAUUAGAUUUAUUGAUAUUAAAUUUCAUCUGGUUGCUUUUGACCCAACAUUCUCGACUGUCGAGAUCAUCUUGAACCUUAAUUCUCUCAUCUCCUCCAGCUUUGAGUCAUCUGCAAAUUUGGUGCACAUGCUUUCCAUGUCUUCGUCCAAAUCACUGGCUUUAAAAAGCUAUUUCUGUGGAUAAAAAUAGAGAUAUAGGUUGCUUUGCAAGAGGGGACCGUGUGUGCAAGGCUGAGAAAUGGGGUUUUACUUUGUGGGAAGCCGGGGGCUCCCAGCCCUUAAUUAGCACUUAAGUCUUUGCCAAACAUACCCCCUUUUUAUGAACUGAUAUUUGUCCCUGGGUCCCAAGUGUCCUUGGUGAUGACAAGGGGAGUUCACCCUUCAGCCACCCUGACUGUGGUGUCCUCUAAACUAGCAAAUCCCCUGGGCAGGUCUGAAUCCCUUCCUGUCUGCACCAGAUGAAGCCCCAAGGCCAAGUCCUGUCCUCCUCCCUUCUCAAUGCUUCUCAAACCGAGACCACCCCCACCUUGGGACCUUGCCAAAUACCUGCUGUUAAUCCAAGAAAUCAAUUCUCGCUCGCUCGCUCGGAGGAGGUCAUGGACCACAAUGUCUUAAUGUGCUUCCCGCUCAGAUGUUUCCAUUUUAACAGGGGCCUUCUGUGUCUGAACCGCAAGGCCAGGGGCUGCCGAGGAUCUGUUAUUAGCCACCUGUGGCCAAGUGGGGCUCUGUUCUCAGUCCAGGGCCCUGAGGGCAUCCCCUAUCACAGCGCAGGGCAGCCGGCGUGGCUCACACGCGUGACUGCAAGUCACCAGAAAAAGGCUUGGGGCACUCCGUUCUAAAUAGUAGAGAAAAGGGGGAAAAAAAAAUCUAGAGGUAAUUUCCAUCUGAAAUCUGAAGUGGUUUAAAUAAAAAAAAAAAAAAAAAAAAAGACAACAGGAGUUCUUGUUGUGGCUCAGUGGUAAUGAACCCAACUAGUAUCCAUGAGAAUGUGGGUUCAAUCCCUGGUCCCGCACAGUGGGUUGAGCUAUGGUGUAAGUCGCAGAUAUGGCUCGGAUCCCGCAUUGCUGUGGCUGUGGUGUGGCCUGGCAGCUGCAGCUCCAAUUUGACCCUGAGCCUGGGAACCUCCAUAUGCCAAGGGUACAUCC